GAUGGAUGGAUGGAUGGAUGGAUGGAUGGAUGGGCAGGUGGAUGAAUGGAUGGAUGGGCAGGUGGAUGGAUGGAUGGAUGGGCAGGUGGAUGGAUGGAUGGAUGGGCAGGUGGAUGAAUGGAUGGAUGGGCAGGUGGAUGGAUGGAUGGAUGGGCAGGUGGAUGAAUGGAUGGAUGGGCAGGUGGAUGGAUGGAUGGAUGGGCAGGUGGAUGAAUGGAUGGAUGGGCAGGUGGAUGAAUGGAUGGAUGGGCAGGUGGAUGGAUGGAUGGAUGGGCAGGUGGAUGAAUGGAUGGAUGGGCAGGUGGAUGGAUGGAUGGAUGGGCAGGUGGAUGAAUGGAUGGAUGGGCAGGUGGAUGGAUGGAUGGAUGGGCAGGUGGAUGAAUGGAUGGAUGGGCAGGUGGAUGAAUGGAUGGAUGGGCAGGUGGAUGGAUGGGUGGAUGGAUGGGUGGGUGGGUGGAUGGAUGGAUGGAAUUGUGAUUGUUAGUUCUGGGUAGCCCUGGCUAUCCUGGGACUUGCUCUGUAGGCCAGGCUGGCCUCAAACUCUGAGAUCUGCCUGCCUCUGCCUCCCAAGUGUUGGAAUUAAAGAUGUGUGCACCACCACUGCCCAGCUAAUAAAUGAUUUUAAAAUCAAAAGAAAACUUAAAGGAUUUAAUUCCCCCUGGCUCCUCCCUUUCUCUGUUCUGUAUCUAGUUUGGAUCCAUCAGUUUUCCUUCUUACCCCUACUUCAUGUCGGUUCAAGAUCUGAAUUUUUAAUUCACUUAUGUUACCAUGGAGAUACGGGAUGUUCAUACUCAUUUAGCUAAAAGUGGAGCUCAGCCCCAACUGUUUCCCUUCCUUAAUUUAGUGAAUGUCACCAUCUUCUUACAUACACAAGCUCGAGGUAUUGCAUUCAUUCUCAAUUCUUUUUUUUUCUUUUUUCUUUUUUCUUUUUUUGGUUUUUUGAGACAGGGUUUCUCUGUGUAGCUCCGGCUAUCCUGGAACUCACUCUGUAGACCAGGCUGGCCUCGAACUCAGAAAUCCGCCUGCCUCUGCCUCCCAAGGGCUGGGAUUAAAGGCUUGUGCCACCACUGCCUGACUCAUUCUCAAUUCUUGCCCUCAAGAUACAAAGCUGGAUAUGGUAGUAUAUCUUUGUACUUUGUAGAGCGAGGAGGAUCAGGAGUUCAAGGACAGCCCUGGGUACUUAAUGAGUUUGAAGUCAGCCUGGGAUACCUGAGAUUCAGUGUAAAACAAAACAAAAAAGCCAGUUUCUAUUGUGCUCCAGAUCUUUUCUGUUUUCCUUUUGUCGAUCAUUA